AGCGCACUUGGUUUUUCAAGUCACCCGCUUAGCUAUCUUCCAAGUAGUACUUUCCUUCUUUUGUUUCCUUUCCUUCCUGUUCUAAAGCUUUUGAAUACGCUUUCACUCCUGCUCUGAAACUUGCCGAGGUGUCUCUGCCUUAUGCUUUUCUCUGCUUCAGUUGAAUUCUUUCUUCUGAGGAGACAAGGUCUCUCUCUGUCACCCAGGCUGGAAUGCAGUGGCAUGAUUAUGGCUAACUUCAACCUUGACCUCCUGGGAUCAAAGAAUCCUCCCUCUUUGGCCUCCUACACAGCUGGGAUUACAGGUGUGUGCUACCACCAGCAGCUAUUUUUAAUUUUUUUGUAAAGUUGGGGUCUCACUAUAUUGCCAGGGCUGUUCUGUAUCUCCUGACCUCAAGUGAUCCUCCUGCCUUGGCCUCCCAAAGUACUGUACCUGGAAUAUUUUUUGAUGCAGAGGUAAACCUAAUGAGAUAUAAUAAGAUCACUCCAUUUCUGCUAAGAAUUGAGGGCCUCAGGUAAUAGUACUAAAUCAAUGUGGUAAGUGAUACUACUGGUGAUUUUUUGACACUCAGGGAAUAAAGGCCAAAUGGUUAAAGGAAAAAGCACAGAGCGACAACAAAGCAAUAAUUCUUAUAUACUCUUGACUUUCUUUGAAAGCUAAAUGUUUUCAAUUUUAAAGUUACUUGACUUUCUUUUACUGCUUUCCUCUAUAUUCAUUUUCUGCACAACCAUUUUCUUCUCUUUUUUUUACAAUUCUCUGUAUAGGUUUCCAUGGGAAAAAGCUCUGUAACUUUAGUGUGUAUUUAUAGUUGUGAAAUAGCUUUUCUUUUUCUUAAUCUUUUUGUUUAUUCUGCAAAAUGAGUCACUGAUGUUGCCCAACAGUUCUUGGGAAACAGAGGCCUGUCCCUUGUUAAUGUCGUAAGUUGUCUUUUCCUGGAAAUCCACAAGUGAGUAAAGCAGAAGUUCAACUGGAAUUUAAUAAACACGUCUUUCAAAGCAAUAGUAAUGAGCU
rnacentral:lncRNA from 1 species